AGGGAGACAUGGGAAUGCUUUUUGUUUCUAAUAUACUUUAUAUAUAAUUGACCUUUUAAAAUAGGUACUUAAAAAACGACAGUGACAAAACCACGCGAAAAAAAGGAUUUUACAAGUCCUCUUGGAGGGACGGUAAAGGAAGGAAAUUGCUGAAGUGACAAACAUCCUAAACAUCAGUGAUAAAGGGCAAAGAGAUUGGGAAAAGAACAAAGCCACGUACCUAAGAAAUGACAGCAGACCAGUGUGAGGCUAAAGCUAUAACUGGACAGGAGGCUCCAGUGGAACGCUCAGCAUGGUGACUCCUCCUGCUAAAGCAGCGACACGUCAGGCCAGGCAGACGCUGAACCCAGAGUCCUGCAAGGGAGAGCAGGGUUCUCCCCAAAAAUAAAUUACAGAUCUUCGGUCCAAAUCUUGAAAUACACAGCUGAUGCUGCAAGAAGAUGCACCAUAUCCUUUUUAUAAUAGGCCUGUGGCUGCACACGAUCACACACACCCAGUCGCGAGGCCACUGGCACCCGUGACGUUCUACACGCAGAUACUCAGAUUCACACAGCUAUGCUGCACUCGCCAACCGCCCCGGUCACACAGCGACCCGCACACCCAUCCCAUCACACACACAUCACCCCAGUCACAGUCCGGCACAGCCAGUCUCCCACCGCGCCUCUCGCCUCACUGCUCAGUCACGAAUCACACUCCAGGCUACUUUCUGUGGCCUCUCUCCUGUCAGGUGCCGCUGCAGGCACACACCGUCUCGCACCCAAAGAAUUACACACACGC